UUCUAUCCGGACCAAAUGUCCUCUUCUUCUUUUUUCUUUUUUUUUUUUUCUCUUUCUCUCUGUCUUGCCUAGUUGCCCACGUUGUCAGACUUUCAAAUAAUAUAUCUAACACUUUCUCUUCUCUCACAACUGGCCUUCUCCUCUCUCUCAUUCUCUUUUCCUUUCUCACAACUUUUCUUUUCUCUCACAAAUGGAUGGGUCUGCAAAUCUCUUCUCUUUCAGUAUCGAACAAACUUUUUCAACUAUUUUUUUCUCUUUUACACCACAACCAGAAAUUUGGAGCACCUAACUCCCUUCGUCAACAAAAAUUACAAACAAGGCUCUUUCUUCAGCUUGCUCAAAAUAUGGAAACUUGACUUAUCACUCAUCAGCCAGAUUUGUCAUAUUUUUCUACACUUUUACAAUUAAUUUCUCCUUGCUAGAUUGAUUGUCAUUUUUAAGGAUAUAGGAAGAAGAAAAAGAAGCAAAGGACAUCUGGUUCUUGAUUUUGUACAGAUGAGAGACUGGUUUUGACGGAAAGGGGAAAAGAAAGAGAAAGCCGAAAUCCGCAAAUGGGUAUCCGAAACCUGUGAGCCUUGGAAGAGGAAUCAGAUUUGGCUCAGUACUUUCUCUACCCCUUAAAUGGGCUCAACGGUGGUGGCUCUGGUUGUCAAAUGGUCAGGUUGAACGGCGGUGGCUUUGCUUGUCGAACAGUCAUGGCUUUCUGGUUAGAUUGGUGGGAGAUGGAUGGGAAAGAAAGGGAAUAAAAGUGAAAUCUGGACCAUCAUUUUAAUUGAGUGACCAAUGAGUGACCAACAAUAUGGAUAUGUUUUUUUAUCCGAAUACAAAAUAGUCAGAACGGUCCUAUCCAUAGCGUAUUGACACCCAUAUUAAAUAAAUAUAUUUAUUUUUGCUUCCACAUAUUAAUAAAUACAAUUAACAAUUAGAGGAUUUGUACAUAACCUACAUGCAUGUAUUAUUUAUGGAAUAAAUGUUGGGAUAGAAUUUCUAUUUUAUA